rnacentral:rRNA from 1 species
CUGCGAACGGCUCAUUAAAUCAGUUAUCGUUUAUUUGAUAGUACCUUACUACUUGGAUAACCGUGGUAAUUCUAGAGCUAAUACAUGCUAAAAGUCCCGACCUCCGGAAGGGACGUAUUUAUUAGAUAAAAAACCAAUGCCUUCGGGCUUUUUGGUGAUUCAUGAUAACUUUACGAAUCGCAUGGCCUUGUGCCGGCGAUGGUUCAUUCAAAUUUCUGCCCUAUCAACUUUCGAUGGUAGGAUAGUGGCCUACCAUGGUUUCAACGGGUAACGGGGAAUUAGGGUUCGAUUCCGGAGAGGGAGCCUGAGAAACGGCUACCACAUCCAAGGAAGGCAGCAGGCGCGCAAAUUACCCAAUCCCGACACGGGGAGGUAGUGACAAUAAAUACUGAUACAGGGCCCAUUUGGGUCUUGUAAUUGGAAUGAGUACAAUUUAAAGCCUUUAACGAGGAACAAUUGGAGGGCAAGUCUGGUGCCAGCAGCCGCGGUAAUUCCAGCUCCAAUAGCGUAUAUUAAAGUUGUUGCAGUUAAAAAGCUCGUAGUUGAACCUUGGGUCUGGGUGACCGGUCUGCCUCACCGCAUGUACUGGAAACCCGGAUCUUUCCUUCUGGAGAACCGCAUGCCCUUCACUGGGUGUGUUGGGGAACCAGGACUUUUACUUUGAAAAAAUUAGAGUGUUCAAAGCAGGCAUUUGCUCGAAUACAUUAGCAUGGAAUAAUAGAAUAGGACGUGCGGUCCUAUUUUGUUGGUUUCUAGGACCGCCGUAAUGAUUAAUAGGGAUAGUCGGGGGCAUCCGUAUUCGAUUGUCAGAGGUGAAAUUCUUGGAUUUUUCGAAGACGAACUACUGCGAAAGCAUUUGCCAAGGAUGUUUUCAUUAAUCAGGAACGAAAGUUGAGGGAUCGAAGACGAUCAGAUACCGUCGUAGUCUCAACCAUAAACUAUGCCGACUAGGGAUCGGGCGAUGUUUAAAUCUGACUCGCUCG